rnacentral:rRNA from 1 species
CAAAGGUGAGCCAGUACAGGAUGGACCCGCGUCUGAUUAGCUAGUUGGUAAGGUAACGGCUUACCAAGGCGACGAUCAGUAGCCGACCUGAGAGGGUGAUCGGCCACAUUGGAACUGAGACACGGUCCAAACUCCUACGGGAGGCAGCAGUGGGGAAUAUUGCACAAUGGGCGAAAGCCUGAUGCAGCAACGCCGCGUGAGUGAUGAAGGCCUUCGGGUCGUAAAACUCUGUCCUCAAGGAAGAUAAUGACGGUACUUGAGGAGGAAGCCCCGGCUAACUACGUGCCAGCAGCCGCGGUAAUACGUAGGGGGCUAGCGUUAUCCGGACUUACUGGGCGUAAAGGGUGCGUAGGCGGUCUUUCAAGUCAGGAGUGAAAGGCUACGGCUCAACCGUAGUAAGCUCUUGAAACUGGGAGACUUGAGUGCAGGAGAGGAGAGUGGAAUUCCUAGUGUAGCGGUGAAAUGCGUAGAUAUUAGGAGGAACACCAGUUGCGAAGGCGGCUCUCUGGACUGUAACUGACGCUGAGGCACGAAAGCGUGGGGAGCAGACAGGAUUAGAUACCCUGGUAGUCCACGCUGUAAACGAUGAGUACUAGGUGUCGGGGGUUACCCCCUUCG